GAUGAACGCUGGCGGCGUGCCUAAUACAUGCAAGUCGAGCGAACGGACGAGAAGCUUGCUUCUCUGAUGUUAGCGGCGGACGGGUGAGUAACACGUGGAUAACCUACCUAUAAGACUGGGAUAACUUCGGGAAACCGGAGCUAAUACCGGAUAUUAUUUUGAACCGCAUGGUUCAAAAGUGAAAGACGGUCUUGCUGUCACUUAUAGAUGGAUCCGCGCUGCAUUAGCUAGUUGGUAAGGUAACGGCUUACCAAGGCAACGAUGCAUAGCCGACCUGAGAGGGUGAUCGGCCACACUGGAACUGAGACACGGUCCAGACUCCUACGGGAGGCAGCAGUAGGGAAUCUUCCGCAAUGGGCGAAAGCCUGACGGAGCAACGCCGCGUGAGUGAUGAAGGUCUUCGGAUCGUAAAACUCUGUUAUUAGGGAAGAACAUAUGUGUAAGUAACUGUGCACAUCUUGACGGUACCUAAUCAGAAAGCCACGGCUAACUACGUG
rnacentral:rRNA from 1 species